ensembl:lncRNA
UGAUAACUUAAAAAUGUCCAUUUUUAUUUUACCAAGGCAACCCGAGCGGCCGCACAUGCCCAGGUCGUUUUACCAAUUAGGGCCCGGCUACGCUUAAAUGUUCACCUGUGGCUGUUUGGUUCAGUUCAGUACAUCCGCUUGGUUUCCCAACGUCUCCAACAUACGGUAAUACGGUAACGCUUUUCGAAGUAGAACGGACUACUAUAUCUGGACCUGCUGUCAAGAAGGAGAAACUGUGAUUCUGUGAGUAUCAAAAUUUCAACAUGAAGAAGAAACUGCGAACUGUAAGUCCUUAUUUCAUCUUUAAAUGUUGGGGCAUCAUUUUUGCCUCGUGGUUGGUUGAGGUUGAUGGGGGUUGUUUAGGUGGAUUUGAAUAGUCUGUGUUUUUGUUGGUACAUGGGCUUAUUCAGUGUUUGGUUUUAACAAGUUUUGAGUGCUGUGUUGCAGUAUAGGUUCCAAGUGAAGUUUGUAAGAAAAGUUGGAUUUCUCAGAGUACAGCCAAAACGUUCUCCAGGGUUGUAUUCUGAUUGGUUUUCUGCCCACCUUCCUACUACUUUCCUGAAAUUUGCAUCUAUAUCACAUGUGUUUUCUCUUGCUGAUGGUGGGAUUGUUUGAGUGAUCAGCGAUGCAUGCUAAGGUUCUGUGCUGUCCGAAGUCUACAGUUCUGUAGACGUGCCCCCUCAGGAUGAACCAAGUGUUUAAGAGGCUGUUGUAACAUCAGUUACAUGAAUUGGAAUGUCCUUCAAGAUGGUGACUGGGACUCCCCCAAGGAGAAACAUCAGGGUCAAGAUGUUGGGGUUCUUCAUCUAAGAAACUAGAACACAACCUUGGUCCUGCACCAGAGAACCAUGGAUCACAUUUCAACGUUCCCAGCCAUACAUCUUGAAGCCAUAGCGUCGGUUUCUCUACCUCCCCACCUGGAGGAGAGCACAACUUCAGUUCAGACAGGGUCUUGGUUUGGAUUUCUCCAGGAUGGUUUCUGAUUUGAGGUGACUCAUCUUUCAGGGCCCUCGGGGCUAACCUAUAACCCUGCAGUUCAGCAAGGGAUUGCUAGCAUCUGAGCCAGCAAGGCGCUCAUCUGCCUGCUGCUCAGAUGGGAUGAUGAGGAUCCUGCUGUGAAAGACCUACCAACCAAACCCUCGGUGGUCCUUCUCAACCUUCUCAAAACUUGCAUCAAAUCCUGUCCCUGUCCUCAGGCCUAUCCAAGUGGGGCGCUUUGAAUCUGAAGGAGCUCCAAGAAAAGAACCUGCCCCCCCCCCCCAAGCUUCAAAUCCACACACAUGUUGAGGUGGACCUCCACACAGUGACGGUUGCUGCGUGCCGCCAGAGCCUUGUUCCUCAUCGGUUCUCAUUCUCCUCGAGCUGUCCGUGGUGUCCGACACCUUGAAUCAACAGAUUCUCCCUGCCACUCUUGCUGAACUCAACAUUGCUGACUCUACCUGAUGGGUCCUAUGGAAUUGCUCCUUGUCCAAUCCCUGCACCCUCGACACUGUUGUCCUUCAAGGCGCUGUACUGGGGCCCCUUCUCUUCUCCCUAUAUACUAGAUCAUUGGGCUCUGUGAUCUACCCCACCCCGGACCCCACCCUCAUUGCAACAUGCAUCUCAGAAUGGCAGACAUCAGUGUUUGGAUCACGGCCCAUCACCUGAAGCUUAACCACGACAAGACUGCGCUCCUCCUUGUGUCAGGGACCGGCACAACUGUGGGUCGGUGAGUUCUCCAUGGAAUACUCACAUGGACAUACUCCCGCCUCAACUACUGCAACUCGCUCCUGACUGGAAUACCUGCCUCCACUGUCAAACCUUUGCAGCAUAUCAGAAUGCAGCACCCCUAAUGUUCAACCUACCCUCAGUCCUCUUCCAUGACCACCACUAGCUCCCCGUAGUGGCUCACAUCAGAUUCAGAACAAUGUUACAACGGAACUGCCCCUGCCUACCUCAAAGCAAGUCAGACCGCACACUCAAGCACAAGCGCACUACUCAAUUCCCUCAGUUGGACUCCUGGAACCGCCAUGGUAAAGCAAGCAAAAGUUGCACAACAAAGUCACAACUCUACUCGGUUUUGGCACCGCAGUGAUUGAACGAGUUCCUUGCCAAUGUCGGGAUUGCAGAGUCGCUCGCCAGCUUCCACAAGUUACUAGAGACUCGCUUGUUUGGAAUCGCUUGUUAUAUGAACAUCCUUACUGUACCGACAGCGAUAAUGUUUCUUUCUUCUGAAAAAGGUACUUAUUGUAAGUCACUUUGCAUGAAAGCAUCUGCUAUAUGUAAAUCUGUGAGCAUGGCCACGGUUUAAAUUGGCAUUGGUUACUUUAUGUGUGCCUAAACAGGGUUCUACCUGGCAUUGGGUACUUGCUGUGAGUGUGGCCAUGAUUCUUCCUUGCAUUGGGUACUUGCUGUGAGCAGUACCGCGGGAAGUAGGGGUGCUGGGGGUGCUGCAGCACCCCCAGCACUCCCAGCUGAGGCUGGGGGUGCUGCAGCACCCCCUGUCUGAGGCUCUGUCUUAUCACAGAAAACGAUCAUUUCUAAAAACUCUGGCCAAAGUGGAGAUUUCUGAAAACGCUGGUUAAGUGUUGUCGUGUCAACGGGGAGAAACGGGAUUUUAGGUUCUGAAGCGUCACAUUAUGCACCAGGAAAUGCUUAACGUCAUGUGAGCGCCCGCUGUACCGUAUUGCACUGUUUCGGCCCGUGGCAAAGCGAGUCAUCCUCGCUGCUGUCCAAGGCAUUUUGAGACGCAGCAUUUAUUUAAUGCUCAUAUGACCUAGUGCUGAAAAAAAGUUAUAUGAAAAAGUGUGAGGGGAGCGGUGGUGCGCUAAACUUCUUCUGUGAGCAGCUGGAUGUGAACCAUGGUGUGAACACAACGAUCGAUUUUCGACUGUGCGCGCAUGCACUGGUGUAAUUGAGCUGCGCUGCUAUGCAUCUUUUUUAUCAAUGUUCCCGCGGCUAUGGCUGUGAGCGUGGCCAUGGUUCUACCCGGCAUUGGGUACUUUAUGCGAGCAUGAUCAGGAUGGUCAUGCUUGCAGGUCCAGAUGACAAGGCCAUCCGGUCCUUGGAGAUGGGUCCCCUUGAAUCAGAAACCAUCUUGGAAAAUCCAAACAAGGAUCCUCUUUAAGCUGCAGUUAUGCUCCAUUCAGAUAAGGAGGUAAAGAAACCCUCACUGGGGCUUCAAGAUCUCUGAAGAGGAACAUUGAAAUGUGCUCAAUGGCUCUUUCCUGUAAGAGCUGGGGUGUUUUCUAGUCGCUGAGGAAGAGCCCUCACAUCCUACCCUUGACAUUUCUCCUGGGGGAGUCCCUGUCACGGUCUUGAAGGAUGUUCCAGUUCAUGUAACCAAUGUUACGACAGCCUUUUGAACACUUGGUUUCUCUAGAGGGGGCACAUCUACAGAACGGUACACUUUAGGCGGCAUCGUAUCCUACCAUUCAUCUCUGGGCGCUCGGACAAAACCCAGAUCAAUAAGUCAACGCUCAUGCAAUGUGGAUGCAAAUCUUUGAGAGUUGCAAGGACGUGGACAAAAGGCAUCUGAACACAACAGAGAAAGAUUGUUUGGUAUUUCUAGAAUUAUGGGGCUAUUUUAUUACCGUUAUGUAUUUGUUGAGGGUGCAGUUGCAGGUUAUGGUUUGGUUUCCUCUGAGCUUGAAAUUAUCUUUUGGGCAUGUCUUUUAUUCCUGGAAAUAUCUAGAAUAUUUAUAAACGUGGGCGAUAUUCUGAGAUUAAGUAUUUCAGCUUUUGGGGCAGGAUGCCAGGUUAAGGGCUCUGGCCUUACAUGGUUUAUUUUUUUGGUGAGGUUGUGAGCCUUGUUUAUUGGUGGUAGUAGUUAAUUUGUAAAAUUGGGGAACUGUAUUUUAUGUAUGUUGUAUACUAUGUAUGUUUUAGUACCAACAGCAACAAACUACUAGAUCGACUUAAGGUAGGUCUGUUGGCUGUAUUUUGAUAUGAGAAGAUUAUCAAAGGACUCCCAAGAUCUUCAUCGCCGUUCAGCUCAAGGUGAGGUGCUGGUUACGUUACUUAUGGGUGGUCCGUGCUGGAACAUUGGGAUUCCAGUCGGAAGGUUUUGGGUUGUUUGCGCAGGUUGGUAGUUAGAUUUAUGGAUGUUGAGUCCCCUGAGGGCAACUGGCAGUACGAUCCUCUGGUAUUACCCAAUUUCUUCAGUAACCAUCUACAAUAUUUGACAAAUUUAUUGAGGGCAUACAUUAUAAAUCAUAACAAUGGCAGUUAUCAGAAAAACAUCGCGUAAAACAACGUCUUCAAUAAUUGCUAUCUACAAACGACCCUUACUGCAUUCUUGUGCGCUAAUUUUCGAGUCUCGCAUACACGAUGCGGAGAUCUCUGAAGACUGCAACAUUUAAAUUUGAGGCAAUUUGACGUUUCCAUACUACGGCUCCUUAGAUCUACAACCAGCAGCUGACUAUGGCUAAGUAUAAUUUUAAUUAUAUUACUAUUGAUACUGCUAUUCUUAAAAUUUGGGCUGUGACUUUCAGUUAAACCCUACUAAAUGGCAAGGAGUUACUUCUUGCAUUAUAGGCUACUUUUGAAGACUAGUAACGGUACCUAAUCUGAAGGUAAUGAACAGCUAAAAUAAUGGAUCCAUGUCUCGCAUGUUGAAGUAAUAUAGACCAAAGAGCUGUACAGAGUUGAACUCGUAACUGUAUUUUGUGUCACAAGGUGUCCGUCUCCUCGCCUCCCUGCUGUCACCACCGGUCUGAAGUCCAUAACCGUGAGUGGGGCCAGCUCCAGCCCUUGUCCUGAACCUGAACAAGAUGUCCAUCGAACCGCACAGCAUGGUCGGAGGCAGGAGACGUGGAGGAGGAAGAGCUGCACCAGGCUCGCCAGUGGAAGUGGCAUUCGACAGUGUUCCCCUGGACCAGAGGCUGAGGACCAGACCCCCUGGACCAGGAAUGGGGCACCAGGAUGGACCAGAGGCUGUGGACCAGACCCCCUGGAUCAGGAAUGGGGCACCAGGAUGGACCAGACCCCCUGGACCAGGAAUGGGGCACCAGGAUGGACCAGAGGCUGUGGACCAGACCCCCUGGACCAGAGGCUGAGGACCAGACCCCCUGGACCAGGAAUGGGGCACCAGGAUGGACCAGAGGCUGAGGACCAGACCCCCUGGACCAGGAAUGGGGCACCAGGAUGGACCAGAGGCCGUGGACCAGACCCCCUGGACCAGGAAUGGGGCACCAGGAUGGACCAGAGGCCGUGGACCAGACCCCCUGGACCAGGAAUGGGGCACCAGGAUGGACCAGAGGCCGUGGACCAGGAAUGGGGCACCAGGAUGGACCAGAGGCCGUGGACCAGACCCCCUGGACCAGGAAUGGGGCCCCAGGGUGGACCGGAGGGUAACCUGACCCCCUGGACCAGGAAUGGGGGCCCAGGGUGGACCGGAGGGUAACCUGACCCCCUGGACCAGGAAUGGGGGCCCAGGGUGGACCGGAGGGUAACCUGACCCCC